AACGAACGCUGGCGGCGUGCUUAACACAUGCAAGUCGAACGGUAAGGCCCUUCGGGGUACACGAGUGGCGAACGGGUGAGUAACACGUGGGCGAUCUGCCCUGCACUCCGGGAUAAGCCUGGGAAACUGGAUCUAAUACCGGAUAGGACUCCUGGCUUCAUGGUUGGGGGUGGAAAGCUUUUGCGGUGUGGGAUGGGCCCGCGGCCUAUCAGCUUGUUGGUGGGGUAAUGGCCUACCAAGGCGACGACGGGUAGCCGGCCUGAGAGGGUGACCGGUCACACUGGGACUGAGAUACGGCCCAGACUCCUACGGGAGGCAGCAGUGGGGAAUAUUGCACAAUGGGCGCAAGCCUGAUGCAGCGACGCCGCGUGAGGGAUGACGGCCUUCGGGUUGUAAACCUCUUUCAGCUAUGACGAAGCGCAAGUGACGGUAGUAGCAGAAGAAGGACCGGCCAACUACGUGCCAGCCGCCGCCGUAA
rnacentral:rRNA from 1 species